rnacentral:rRNA from 1 species
GGUUAAGCGACUAAGCGUACACGGUGGAUGCCCUGGCAGUCAGAGGCGAUGAAGGACGUGCUAAUCUGCGAAAAGCGUCGGUAAGGUGAUAUGAACCGUUAUAACCGGCGAUGUCCGAAUGGGGAAACCCAGUGCAAUUCGUUGCACUAUCGUUAACUGAAUACAUAGGUUAACGAGGCGAACCGGGGGAACUGAAACAUCUAAGUACCCCGAGGAAAAGAAAUCAACCGAGAUUCCCCCAGUAGCGGCGAGCGAACGGGGAGCAGCCCGGAGUCUGAAUCAGCUUGUGUGUUAGUGGAAGCGUCUGGAAAGUCGCAGGGUACAGGGUGAUACUCCCGUACACUAAAACACACAGGCUGUGAACUCGAAGAGUAGGGCGGGACACGUGGUAUCCUGUCUGAAUAUGGGGGGACCAUCCUCCAAGGCUAAAUACUCCUGACUGACCGAUAGUGAACCAGUACCGUGAGGGAAAGGCGAAAAGAACCCCGGCGAGGGGAGUGAAAAAGAACCUGAAACCGUGUACGUACAAGCAGUAGGAGCCCACUAGUUGGGUGACUGCGUACCUUUUGUAUAAUGGGUCAGCGACUUAUAUUCUGUAGCAAGGUUAACCGAAUAGGGGAGCCGCAGGGAAACCGAGUCUUAACUGGGCGUUAAGUUGCAGGGUAUAGACCCGAAACCCGGUGAUCUAGCCAUGGGCAGGUUGAAGGUUGGGUAACACUAACUGGAGGACCGAACCGACUAAUGUUGAAAAAUUAGCGGAUGACUUGUGGCUUGGGGUGAAAGGCCAAUCAAACCGGGAGAUAGCUGGUUCUCCCCGAAAGCUAUUUAGGUAGCGCCUCGUGAACUCAUCUUCGGGGGUAGAGCACUGUUUCGGCUAGGGGGUCAUCCCGACUUACCAACCCGAUGCAAACUACGAAUACCGAAGAAUGUUAUCACGGGAGACACACGGCGGGUGCUAACGUCCGUCGUGAAGAGGGAAACAACCCAGACCGCCAGCUAAGGUCCCAAAGUCAUGGUUAAGUGGGAAACGAUGUGGGAAGGCCCAGACAGCCAGGAUGUUGGCUUAGAAGCAGCCAUCAUUUAAAGAAAGCGUAAUAGCUCACUGGUCGAGUCGGCCUGCGCGGAAGAUGUAACGGGGCUAAACCAUGCACCGAAGCUGCGGCAGCGACGCUUAUGCGUUGUUGGGUAGGGGAGCGUUCUGUAAGCCGUUGAAGGUGGCCUGUGAGGGUUGCUGGAGGUAUCAGAAGUGCGAAUGCUGACAUAAGUAACGAUAAUGCGGGUGAAAAACCCGCACGCCGGAAGACCAAGGGUUCCUGUCCAACGUUAAUCGGGGCAGGGUGAGUCGACCCCUAAGGCGAGGCCGAAAGGCGUAGUCGAUGGGAAACAGGUUAAUAUUCCUGUACUUGGUGUUACUGCGAAGGGGGGACGGAGAAGGCUAUGUUGGCCGGGCGACGGUUGUCCCGGUUUAAGCAUGUAGGCGGAUGUUCCAGGUAAAUCCGGAACGUUAUUAACGCUGAGGUGUGAUGACGAGGCACUACGGUGCUGAAGUGACAAAUGCCCUGCUUCCAGGAAAAGCCUCUAAGCAUCAGGUAACAUCAAAUCGUACCCCAAACCGACACAGGUGGUCAGGUAGAGAAUACCAAGGCGCUUGAGAGAACUCGGGUGAAGGAACUAGGCAAAAUGGUGCCGUAACUUCGGGAGAAGGCACGCUGAUGGUAAGUGAAGUGACUUGCUCAUGGAGCUGAAAUCAGUCGAAGAUACCAGCUGGCUGCAACUGUUUAUUAAAAACACAGCACUGUGCAAACACGAAAGUGGACGUAUACGGUGUGACGCCUGCCCGGUGCCGGAAGGUUAAUUGAUGGGGUUAUCCUCGCGGAGAAGCUCUUGAUCGAAGCCCCGGUAAACGGCGGCCGUAACUAUAACGGUCCUAAGGUAGCGAAAUUCCUUGUCGGGUAAGUUCCGACCUGCACGAAUGGCGUAAUGAUGGCCAGGCUGUCUCCACCCGAGACUCAGUGAAAUUGAACUCGCUGUGAAGAUGCAGUGUACCCGCGGCAAGACGGAAAGACCCCGUGAACCUUUACUAUAGCUUGACACUGAACACUGGUCCUUGAUGUGUAGGAUAGGUGGGAGGCUUUGAAGUGUGGACGCCAGUCUGCAUGGAGCCGUCCUUGAAAUACCACCCUUUAAUGGCUGGUGUUCUAACGUGGGCCCGUGAUCCGGGUUGCGGACAGUGUCUGGUGGGUAGUUUGACUGGGGCGGUCUCCUCCUAAAGAGUAACGGAGGAGCACGAAGGUCAGCUAAUCCUGGUCGGACAUCAGGAGGUUAGUGCAAUGGCAUAAGCUGGCUUGACUGCGAGCGUGACGGCGCGAGCAGGUGCGAAAGCAGGUCAUAGUGAUCCGGUGGUUCUGAAUGGAAGGGCCAUCGCUCAACGGAUAAAAGGUACUCCGGGGAUAACAGGCUGAUACCGCCCAAGAGUUCAUAUCGACGGCGGUGUUUGGCACCUCGAUGUCGGCUCAUCACAUCCUGGGGCUGAAGUAGGUCCCAAGGGUAUGGCUGUUCGCCAUUUAAAGUGGUACGCGAGCUGGGUUUAGAACGUCGUGAGACAGUUCGGUCCCUAUCUGCCGUGGGCGCUGGAGAAUUGAGGGGGGCUGCUCCUAGUACGAGAGGACCGGAGUGGACGCAUCACUGGUGUUCGGGUUGUCAUGCCAAUGGCAUUGCCCGGUAGCUAAAUGCGGAAGAGAUAAGUGCUGAAAGCAUCUAAGCACGAAACUUGCCCCGAGAUGAGUUCUCCCUGACCCUUUAAGGGUCCUGAAGGAACGUUGAAGACGACGACGUUGAUAGGCCGGGUGUGUAAGCGCAGCGAUGCGUUGAGCUAACCGGUACUAAUGAACCGUGAGGCUUAACCUU